GCUCCCGUAGCUCAGCUGGAUAGAGCAACAGCCUUCUAAGCUGUAGGCCGCAGGUUCAAGUCCUGCCGGGGGCGC
rnacentral:tRNA from 1 species